rnacentral:tRNA from 1 species
GAAAUAUGAUACUCAAAAUGAAGCCUCUAACUUCAAUUUUUUGCAGUGCAAUUCUGUUUAUAUUUCU